rnacentral:rRNA from 1 species
AGUGAACGCUGGCGGUAGGCCUAACACAUGCAAGUCGAACGGCAGCACAGUAAGAGCUUGCUCUUACGGGUGGCGAGUGGCGGACGGGUGAGGAAUACAUCGGAAUCUACUUUUUCGUGGGGGAUAACGUAGGGAAGCUUACGCUAAUACCGCAUACGACCUACGGGUGAAAGCAGGGGAUCUUCGGACCUUGCGCGAUUGAAUGAGCCGAUGUCGGAUUAGCUAGUUGGCGGGGUAAAGGCCCACCAAGGCGACGAUCCGUAGCUGGUCUGAGAGGAUGAUCAGCCACACUGGAACUGAGACACGAUCCAGACUCCUACGGGAGGCAGCAGUGGGGAAUAUUGGACAAUGGGCGCAAGCCUGAUCCAGCCAUACCGCGUGGGUGAAGAAGGCCUUCGGGUUGUAAAGCCCUUUUGUUGGGAAAGAAAAGCAGCAGGUUAAUACCCCGCUGUUCUGACGGUACCCAAAGAAUAAGCACCGGCUAACUUCGUG